CUUGGUGGUUCUUGCGAUGGGGGUACACCUGUUCUCAUCCCGAACACAGCAGUUAAGUCCAUUGGCGCCGAUGAUAGUCGAAAGGCAAAAGUAGGUAGCCGCCAAGA
rnacentral:rRNA from 1 species